AACAAUGGCUUCUCUACUCUCACAAUGCAAUUUCAUUUCCUUAACAACUUACAACAACUUCAAACCCAAAACGACACUCCCUUCUUCCUUAGUAGUUGGAACUUCAACGACACGCCGUUUUAGAAGAUACGUAACGGUUUCUGAACAAGCUACGGCGAAUUCAGCUGCUGUUAGAAAGCUUUAUGUUGGGAACAUUCCUCGUACUGUUAGUAAUGAUGAACUUGCUCAGAUUGUUCAAGAACAUGGUGCUGUUGAGA
rnacentral:lncRNA from 1 species